UUCCCUCCCCCAUCCAUUGAGAUGGCAAGAAAUGCAAAAUCCAUUACAAAUAUGAUGUCAUAAGAAAGAAGUUCCUGCAUUACCCAUGUUCUGGGAGGAAAGAAAAGAAAAAGGAACAGAAAAAAAAUGCUUCGGUCCUCACUUUGUGUCCAUCAGUUUUCUAUCUGGAAGUGGAUAACAUUUUUCAUCAUGAGUCCUUUGGAACUGUGACCUCAGUUUCCUCAUCUGUAAAAUGGAGAUGCUAAUGGCCUCAUCACCUCAAGGGUUAUUGUGAGGAGCUAAUCAAAUACCUAUGUGAAGUACUUUGUAUCUCCACUGGCUGCCACAGAAACUGGAUGGAUACUUCAACAAGAAACAACAGAAGACCCGAC